rnacentral:rRNA from 1 species
UAGUGGCGAACGGGUGAGUAACACGUGGGCAAUCUGCCCUUCACUCUGGGACAAGCCCUGGAAACGGGGUCUAAUACCGGAUAACACUCCUGCCUGCAUGGGCGGGGGUUAAAAGCUCCGGCGGUGAAGGAUGAGCCCGCGGCCUAUCAGCUAGUUGGUGGGGUAAUGGCCUACCAAGGCGACGACGGGUAGCCGGCCUGAGAGGGCGACCGGCCACACUGGGACUGAGACACGGCCCAGACUCCUACGGGAGGCAGCAGUGGGGAAUAUUGCACAAUGGGCGAAAGCCUGAUGCAGCGACGCCGCGUGAGGGAUGAAUGCCUUCGGGUUGUAAACCUCUUUCAGCAGGGAAGAAGCGCAAGUGACGGUACCUGCAGAAGAAGCACCGGCUAACUACGUGCCAGCAGCCGCGGUAAUACGUAGGGUGCGAGCGUUGUCCGGAAUUAUUGGGCGUAAAGAGCUCGUAGGCGGCUUGUCGCGUCGGAUGUGAAAGCCCGGGGCUUAACCCCGGGUCUGCAUUCGAUACGGGCAGGCUAGAGUGUGGUAGGGGAGAUCGGAAUUCCUGGUGUAGCGGUGAAAUG